rnacentral:lncRNA from 1 species
GACUUGGUUUAGGGCACAGCAGUGGUAUAGGAAUCACCCGGGGCCUCAUUCCAGAAAUGCUUUCCCCUUUCCCCAUCUUGGGAGCCUGAAGGAGAAGGAGGGCCCAAAGAAUUAGGACCAGGCAGGUGGGAACAGAAUCGGCGGCUGGGACUACCUUAUCUACCUGAUGGAGGCCCAGUGGAACCAUUGGCUGCAUCACUAGGGGAGGGCACUGAGGACGAGGGAGGAGGCAACAGGCUUUGCCAAUUACUCCUGGACUAUUGUGCCCAGUUCUCACAUCGCGAUGUGUCCAGAGGAAAAGAGCAGGUAGGUAAGAAGUCAGCUCACCAAGUCAUGGGAGGCUCAGCUGAAAAAACUGGGGCUACAUAACUUAGCGAAGACUUGGGGGAGGCUGGGUUGUUGCUGGCCCCGAGCAGAUUGACUUGCUCUGUGGGACCCAGUCAGCCAGGAUAGGCGAGGCAUUGCUGCUGUAACGAACAAUCCCCAAAUCUCAGGCUUACCCAGCUAAGACUUAUUUCUUGCACCCAGCACAGAUCAGGGCAGUUUUGAGAGGGGGGGCUCUGCUCGUCCUGGUCACUUGGAGGGGGGUCCAAGCCAAGUGGGUUUUCCUCCAGACAGACAUGAGCCCCCCAAACCCUGCAGCAUAGGAAUGUGGUGAACUUUACACUGGCUUUUAAAGUGUCUGUUCACAUUUCCUUGGUUAGAGGAAGUCAUGUGGGAAUACCUAAUUUCAGGAGGCCAGGAAGUACAAUCCUACCCAGUGCCCAAGAGCAGGUGGAAAUGUUUGACGGGCAGCACCAACAACUAUCUCAGGCCCCAAAGGGGUGACUGAGUGUGGGUGGAUGUACUCAGAAGUCAACUUUAAGUUCAUUUAAGCAUGAUCUUCCUGGGAAAAUAGUGAGUACCCGCCAAUAGAUGUGUGCAAACCAAGGCAGGAUAGGUGCCCUGCAGGAAGGCGGGGGAAGAGACUCCCCUGUCACUGGGGUGAUGGGAGGUGGCCUGUGUGGCAGUGAAGAGCAGUAGUGGUUGAGGCCUAGGGCUCUGAAACCAGAGGUUCCCGAUUUCAAAUCCCGUUCUGUCUUACUAGCUGUGUCACUUUGUGCAGAUCACCUAACAUCUCUGGACUCCAGUCCACUCCUCUGUUACGUGGGGGCAUAAUAACUCCAUAGAUUGUGGUGAAGGUUAAAUGAGAUAAUAUAUGUAAAGCCUGUAGCACACCACACCUACCUGGCACAUGGGAAGCUCUAAUCAAGUCAGCUGCUUUUACUGUUAAGUUCAUUUUCCCCCCGAGAUCCUAUGACCCACUGCUCAAGGAAUCUUUGGCAGUGUACUUUCUGGGCCUGUCACGUCCCUAAGACAUUAGUCAGUG